UACGGGAGGCAGCAGUGGGGAAUAUUGCACAAUGGGGGAAACCCUGAUGCAGCCAUGCCGCGUGUGUGAAGAAGGCCUUCGGGUUGUAAAGCACUUUCAGUAGGGAGGAAGGUAGUGUAGUUAACACCUGCACUAUUUGACGUUACCUACAGAAGAAGCACCGGCUAACUCCGUGCCAGCAGCCGCGGUAAUACGGAGGGUGCGAGCGUUAAUCGGAAUUACUGGGCGUAAAGCGCAUGCAGGCGGCCUGUUAAGUCAGAUGUGAAAGCCCCGGGGCUUAACCUCGGAAUUGCAUUUGAAACUGGCAGGCUAGAGUCUUGUAGAGGGGGUAGAAUUUCAGGUGUAGCGGUGAAAUGCGUAGAGAUCUGAAGGAAUACCAGUGGCGAAGGCGGCCCCCUGGACAAAGACUGACGCUCAGAUGCGAAAGCGUGGGGAGCAAACAGGAUUAGAUACCCUUGUAG
rnacentral:rRNA from 1 species